GGAGAAUUGCUGUCGUAGAGUAGAGAGGAGAAUGGCAGUCGUAGAUUAGAGAGGAGAAUGGCUGUCGUAGAGUAGAGAGGAGAAUGGCAGUCGUAGAUUAGAGAGGAGAAUGGCUGUCGUAGAGGAGAGGGGAGAGCGUAGAGGAGAGAGGAGAAUGGCUGUCGUAGAGUAGAGAGGAGAAUUGCUGUCGUAGAGGAAAGAGGAGAGAGGAGAAUGGCUGACGUAGAGGAGAGGAGAAUGGCUGUCGUAGAGUAGAGAGGAGAAAAGCUGUCGUAGAGGAAAGAGGAGAGAGGAGAAUGGCUGUCGUAGACGAGAGAGAAGAAUGCCUGUCAUAGAGGAGAGAGGAGAAUGGCUGUCAUAGAGGAGAGAGGAGAAUGGCUGUCGUAGAUUAGAGAGGAGAAUAGCUGUCAUAGAGGAGAGGGGAGAAUGGCUGUCGUAGAGGAGAGAGGAGAAUGGCUGUCGUUGAUUAGAGAGGAGAAUAGCUGCCGUAGAGGAGAAUGGAGAAUGGCUGCCGUAGAGUAGAGAGGAGAAAGGCUGUCGUUGAUUAGAGAGGAGAAUAGCUGCCGUAGAGGAGAAUGGAGAAUGGCUGCCGUAGAGUAGAGAGGAGAAAGGCUGUCGUUGAUUAGAGAGGAGAAUAGCUGCCGUAGAGGAGAAUGGAGAAUGGCUGCCGUAGAGUAGAGAGGAGAAAGGCUGUCGUUGAUUAGAGAGGAGAAUAGCUGCCGUAGAGGAGAGAGGAGAAUGGC
rnacentral:lncRNA from 1 species